UACAGAGGUCUCAAGCGUUGUUCGGAUUCAUUGGGCGUAAAGGGUGCGUAGGUGGCGCCGUAAGUCGGGUGUGAAAUUUCGGAGCUUAACUCCGAAAACUGCAUUCGAUACUGCGGUGCUUGAGGACUGGAGAGGAGACUGGAAUUCAUGGUGUAGCAGUGAAAUGCGUAGAGAUCAUGAGGAAGACCAGUGGCGAAGGCGGGUCGUCUGGACAGUUCCUGACACUGAGGCACGAAGGCCAGGGGAGCAAACGGG
rnacentral:rRNA from 1 species